rnacentral:rRNA from 1 species
GGUUAAGCGACUAAGCGUACACGGUGGAUGCCCUGGCAGUCAGAGGCGAUGAAGGACGUGCUAAUCUGCGAAAAGCGACGGUAAGGUGAUAUGAACCGCUACAGCCGUCGAUGUCCGAAUGGGGAAACCCGGUGCACUCUGUGCAUCAUCGUUAACUGAAUACAUAGGUUAACGAGGCGAACCGGGGGAACUGAAACAUCUAAGUACCCCGAGGAAAAGAAAUCAACCGAGAUUCCCCCAGUAGCGGCGAGCGAACGGGGAGCAGCCCAGGACCUGAAUCAGCUUGUGCAUCAGUGGAAGCGUCUGGAAAGUCGCGCGAUACCGGGUGACAGCCCCGUACACGAAGAUGCACAGGUUGUGAGUCCGACGAGUAGGGCGGGACACGUGGUAUCCUGUCUGAACAUGGGGGGACCAUCCUCCAAGGCUAAAUACUCCUGACUGACCGAUAGUGAACCAGUACCGUGAGGGAAAGGCGAAAAGAACCCCGGCGAGGGGAGUGAAACAGAACCUGAAACCGUGUACGUACAAGCAGUGGGAGCACCUUCAGGGUGUGACUGCGUACCUUUUGUAUAAUGGGUCAGCGACUUAUAUUCUGUAGCAAGGUUAACCGCAUAGGGGAGCCGAAGGGAAACCGAGUCUUAAUUGGGCGUUAAGUUGCAGGGUAUAGACCCGAAACCCGGUGAUCUAGCCAUGGGCAGGUUGAAGGUUGGGUAACACUAACUGGAGGACCGAACCGACUAAUGUUGAAAAAUUAGCGGAUGACUUGUGGCUGGGGGUGAAAGGCCAAUCAAACCGGGAGAUAGCUGGUUCUCCCCGAAAGCUAUUUAGGUAGCGCCUCGUGAACUCAUCUCCGGGGGUAGAGCACUGUUUCGGCUAGGGGGCCAUCCCGGCUUACCAACCCGAUGCAAACUGCGAAUACCGGAGAAUGUUAUCACGGGAGACACACGGCGGGUGCUAACGUCCGUCGUGAAGAGGGAAACAACCCAGACCGCCAGCUAAGGUCCCAAAGUCAUGGUUAAGUGGGAAACGAUGUGGGAAGGCACAGACAGCCAGGAUGUUGGCUUAGAAGCAGCCAUCAUUUAAAGAAAGCGUAAUAGCUCACUGGUCGAGUCGGCCUGCGCGGAAGAUGUAACGGGGCUAAACCAUGCACCGAAGCUGCGGCAGCGACAUGUAAAUGUUGUUGGGUAGGGGAGCGUUCUGUAAGCCGCUGAAGGUGUGCUGUGAGGCAUGCUGGAGGUAUCAGAAGUGCGAAUGCUGACAUAAGUAACGAUAAAGCGGGUGAAAAGCCCGCUCGCCGGAAGACCAAGGGUUCCUGUCCAACGUUAAUCGGGGCAGGGUGAGUCGACCCCUAAGGCGAGGCUGAAAAGCGUAGUCGAUGGGAAACAGGUUAAUAUUCCUGUACUUGGUGUUACUGCGAAGGGGGGACGGAGAAGGCUAGGUUAUCCGGGCGACGGUUGUCCCGGUUUAAGCGUGCAGGUGUGAAGACCAGGCAAAUCCGGUCUUCUUUAACACUGAGGCGUGACGACGAGCCGCUACGGCGGUGAAGUAACUGAUGCCCUGCUUCCAGGAAAAGCCUCUAAGCUCCAGGUAACACGAAAUCGUACCCCAAACCGACACAGGUGGUCAGGUAGAGAAUACCAAGGCGCUUGAGAGAACUCGGGUGAAGGAACUAGGCAAAAUGGUGCCGUAACUUCGGGAGAAGGCACGCUGGCGCGUAGGUGAGGGGACUUGCUCCCGGAGCCGAGGCCAGUCGAAGAUACCAGCUGGCUGCAACUGUUUAUUAAAAACACAGCACUGUGCAAACACGAAAGUGGACGUAUACGGUGUGACGCCUGCCCGGUGCCGGAAGGUUAAUUGAUGGGGUUAUCCGCAAGGAGAAGCUCUUGAUCGAAGCCCCGGUAAACGGCGGCCGUAACUAUAACGGUCCUAAGGUAGCGAAAUUCCUUGUCGGGUAAGUUCCGACCUGCACGAAUGGCGUAAUGAUGGCCAGGCUGUCUCCACCCGAGACUCAGUGAAAUUGAAAUCGCUGUGAAGAUGCAGUGUACCCGCGGCAAGACGGAAAGACCCCGUGAACCUUUACUAUAGCUUGACACUGAACAUUGAGCCUUGAUGUGUAGGAUAGGUGGGAGGCUUUGAAGCGCGGACGCCAGUCUGCGUGGAGCCAACCUUGAAAUACCACCCUUUAAUGUUUGAUGUUCUAACGUAGGCCCGUAAUCCGGGCUGCGGACAGUGUCUGGUGGGUAGUUUGACUGGGGCGGUCUCCUCCCAAAGCGUAACGGAGGAGCACGAAGGUUGGCUAAUCCUGGUCGGACAUCAGGAGGUUAGUGCAAUGGCAUAAGCCAGCUUGACUGCGAGAGUGACGGCUCGAGCAGGUGCGAAAGCAGGUCAUAGUGAUCCGGUGGUUCUGAAUGGAAGGGCCAUCGCUCAACGGAUAAAAGGUACUCCGGGGAUAACAGGCUGAUACCGCCCAAGAGUUCAUAUCGACGGCGGUGUUUGGCACCUCGAUGUCGGCUCAUCACAUCCUGGGGCUGAAGUAGGUCCCAAGGGUACGGCUGUUCGCCGUUUAAAGUGGUACGCGAGCUGGGUUUAGAACGUCGUGAGACAGUUCGGUCCCUAUCUGCCGUGGGCGCUGGAGAAUUGAGGGGGGUUGCUCCUAGUACGAGAGGACCGGAGUGAACGCACCGCUGGUGUUCGGGUUGUCAUGCCAAUGGCACUGCCCGGUAGCUAAGUGCGGAAGAGAUAAGUGCUGAAAGCAUCUAAGCACGAAACUUGCCCCGAGAUGAGUUCUCCCUGACCCCUUGAGGGUCCUGAAGGGACGUUGAAGACGACGACGUUGAUAGGCCGGGUGUGUAAGCGCAGCGAUGCGUUGAGCUAACCGGUACUAAUGACCCGUGAGGCUUAACCUU